UGCGGUUUAAUCGGACUCAACGCCGGGAAACUCACCAGAUAAGACAGCUGAAUGAUAGUCGGGCUGAAGACUCUACUUGACUAGCUGAGAGGAGGUGCAUGGCCGUUGUCAGUUCGUACUGUGAAGCAUCCUGUUAAGUCAGGCAACGAGCGAGACCCACGCCAACAGUUGCCAGCUCGUCCUCCGGGAUGGUGGGGACACUGUUGGGACCGCCUCUGCUAAAGAGGAGGAAGGAAUGGGCAACGGUAGGUCAGCAUGCCCCGAAUUAUCUGGGCUACACGCGGGCUACAAUGGGUGGGACAAUGGGUAUCGACACCGAAAGGUGAAGGCAAUCUCCUAAACCCAUCCGUAGUUCGGAUUGUGGGCUGCAACUCGCCCACAUGAAGCUGGAAUCUAUAGUAAUCGUGUCUCAAAAUGGCACGGUGAAUAUGUCCCUGCUCCUU
rnacentral:rRNA from 1 species